rnacentral:rRNA from 1 species
AGAGUUUGAUCAUGGCUCAGAAUGAACGCUGGCGGCACGCUUAACACAUGCAAGUCGAACGGGAUCUUCGGAUCUAGUGGCAGACGGGUGAGUAACGCGUGGGAACCUGCCCAGUAGUAGAGGACAACUUGGGGAAACUUAAGCUAAUACUUUAUACGUCCUUCGGGAGAAAGCUUUAUGCGCUAUUGGAUGGGCCCGCGUUAGAUUAGUUUGUUGGUGAGGUAAUGGCUCACCAAGACUACGAUCUAUAGCUGGUCUGAGAGGAUGAUCAGCCACACUGGGACUGAGACACGGCCCAGACUCCUACGGGAGGCAGCAGUGGGGAAUAUUGGACAAUGGGGGCAACCCUGAUCCAGCGAUGCCGCGUGAGUGAUGAAGGCCCUAGGGUUGUAAAACUCUUUCGUCAGGGAAGAUAAUGACGGUACCUGAAGAAGAAGAUCCGGCUAACUCCGUGCCAGCAGCCGCGGUAAUACGGAGGGAUCUAGCGUUAUUCGGAAUUACUGGGCGUAAAGCGAGCGUAGGCGGAUUUGUAAGUUGGAGGUGAAAUCCCAGAGCUUAACUCUGGAACUGCCUUCAAAACUACAUUUCUUGAGUUUGGUAGAGGAGAGUGGAAUUCCUAGUGUAGAGGUGAAAUUCGUAGAUAUUAGGAGGAACACCAGUGGCGAAGGCGACUCUCUGGGCCAAUACUGACGCUGAGGUUCGAAAGCAUGGGUAGCGAACAGGAUUAGAUACCCUGGUAGUCCAUGCAGUAAACGAUGAGUGCUAGAUGUUGGGAAUUUAAAUUUCCAGUAUCGCAGUUAACGCGUUAAGCACUCCGCCUGGGAAGUA